GUGGGGAAUAUUGGACAAUGGGCGAAAGCCUGAUCCAGCCAUGCCGCGUGUGUGAAGAAGGUCUUCGGAUUGUAAAGCACUUUAAGUUGGGAGGAAGGGCAUUAACCUAAUACGUUAGUGUUUUGACGUUACCGACAGAAUAAGCACCGGCUAACUUCGUGCCAGCAGCCGCGGUAAUACGAAGGGUGCAAGCGUUAAUCGGAAUUACUGGGCGUAAAGCGCGCGUAGGUGGUUCAGUAAGUUGGAUGUGAAAUCCCCGGGCUCAACCUGGGAACUGCAUCCAAAACUGCUGAGCUAGAGUACGGUAGAGGGUGGUGGAAUUUCCUGUGUAGCGGUGAAAUGCGUAGAUAUAGGAAGGAACACCAGUGGCGAAGGCGACUACCUGGACUGAUACUGACACUGAGGUGCGAAAGCGUGGGGAGCAAACAGGAUUAGAUACCCCUGUAGUCC
rnacentral:rRNA from 1 species